CCCCUCGCAGGUCAGCCCAAGUCGAGCCCCGACAUCUCACUCUUCCCACCAUCCUUGGAGGAAAUCGAGAAACGCAACAGGGCCACCCUGGUGUGUCUGUUGUCGGACUUCUACCCCGGUGCCGUGGAGGUGACGUGGGUGGCCGAUGGCCGCACUCUGUCCAGUGAGGUGGAGACCAGCCAGCCCCAGCGGCAGAGCAACAACAAGUACUUGGCCAGCAGCUACCUGACGCUGUCUGUCAGCGACUGGAAGAGCUACGAGACCUACUCCUGCAAGGUCAAACAUGAAGCUGGCAAUGUGGAGAAGAGCCUGAGUAGAUCCGAGUGCUCCUAA